CUUAGAGUACUCAGCCAACGCCGCGAUCUAAGACAGGGAGUAGCUAUAGCAUCUCGUCGUUUGAAUUACGAUAUUAUAGCAACAGGAGACGACACAUUCGAUAGUCUGGACACAGACGAUAGUACAGGCUCUUCCCAACGAAUUAUACGCGGCAUGUUUCGAUGUGCUCCUUCGUCUACUUUUCAAACUCUUCCAACUCCCCAAACUCGUACAGAGAAACUAGCACAAACAUCUUAUCGACUCCGUACCAGACCAUUACCACCAGAAAGACAAUAUCUACCCAGAAUAGCUAGAAUGACACCUUGUGGAAAAUGCUUAAGAAUUUGAAGACAACGAGAUGAAGGACUAAUAGACGAAACUAAAUUGUAAUUCAUACAAAGUACAAUUACUACAUUUAGAAAAAAACGCGGUCUGCUUUCUCUAGACAAAUUGUAAUCCAUAAGAUCACUCUCGAAGAGGAUUUUUAUAUUUGAAAAUAAAACUAUUUCUUCGUCUUACGAAGAUAUUGUACAUAUCGUGUUAAACAUUUCGAAUUGCUUGUAUAAAAGAUAUGGAAAGAUGAAUUUGGUAGCAGAGUAUAAAGAGAAAUUCUCUAUGUUUGAACAUGUUUAAUGCAUGGAUCUCGUGGUCGUAGAUAAGUGAAUGAUUCACUAAUAUUUGUAUGACCGUUUUCUCGACAUGGUAUGAUUAUAGAAGUACUCUGCAAAUACGCUUAACUGUUUUUCAAUUAGAACCACAAUUGUCCGCUUAUACGAGCAAACACGUGUCGUUUCUAUUGCUUCACCCAGUUUUCAGGAUUAUGUAUUUUCAAAAAAAAAGUAAAAUUUGCCACUAUAUCCAAAAUUCUAUUUAAUCUUCAACUUGGAUCUUUGCGUUGUAGGUUAUAUAUCAAGCGAUGGUAGGUCAGAUUGUAAAUGUUAAUUGCAGAUCUUGAAAAAUGAUAGAAAAGUGGCCUUGAAAGUCGAAAUUAUUCAUCACAGUGUUCGUCGUACGAUGUAGAUACACCUACGUUUUCUCUACGCGAUUUUAUUCAUGUGGGAAAUAAUAGCAACACGAAGGAAGGUAACGCAAACAAAAUACCUUGUAUAUUACAAUGUGUUAUAAAUUUAUAAAAAUAGGUAUCUUGUUUAUAUUUGUAAAACAUGUAUUUCGAGCAAAUGUGAGCAAAUGUCGUGAAUAUACGAAUAUACAAGUUUGUAUAAACAUACAAUGAAAAAGAAGUUACAACCUCACCCAAAAAUUUCUAUAUUUAAUAUAGGCAUUAUUCUAUACUUUUAUUUAUUUUCCUAUACUUCAUUUGCUGUCCAAUUUUUUUUACGUGUACGAAAAUUUUUCGAAUUGAAGCAAUGCAUCGAUAAAUAUUUCGAAAGACUUUACACAUUUCAUAUGCAACAAUCAUAUUUAACGUAUGGAAAUCGAAGUAGAAUGUUCACAUCAAAAAAUGAAAUUUUACUUUUACGCGUAUAAAUGUUGUAAUAUGUAAAUUGAGGCGAUCGGACAGCAUCGAGAUUGAAAGAAACGCAACACUUUCUUGAAGGAAUUCGUGGUUGGAUAUGGGUCGAAUAAACCCAUCUCAAAUAUUUUGAUACGUAUCAUGUCCACCAUACGAGAAACGAGAUUCUGUGACAGUGUUGGCACAAAGAUGAAAGAGAAACGUUUUGGGAAGCGGUUGUGGGUGGUAAAAGAUGCUUUACGUUCUCUCGUAUGCAUAAUAUGAGAACGUGUGCGUGUUGCUUCAUACUUCCGGUGCCGUUAAUUCGACCCAUGGACCCAGCAAACGUUGUUGUGAGUCGUCCUCGAAAAUUCCCAUCGUCUCUCUUUGUUUUCUCCAUCUUGGGAGCAUUGCCAAGAUGACGAGAAAUGCGUCUCACGCUUGGGACCACCCGGAUGGAUCGCUUCAUUACGUAAAUUCGCCACUAUCUAUCUUCCUUGCCUUCGCUUCUCGUUUCCCAAGCACGAUACUUGUUAGCGUUACACGUACUAUAAGCGCUAAUUUAAAAAACGAAAAAAAAAUAGUAACUACAUCGUGGCUUGUUUAUGUAAUUUCAAAGACAAAGACUAAAGAGAAAAAACAUGAUAAAUCACAUUCCUCUUUGGUGUUACCCGGAAGGCAAUUUAAAAAGUCAGUACGCUAUUAAUUAUUCGGCUUUUGAUCGUUCUGGUCAAACUAAACAAUUUUAGAUGACUCAUCUAUGUUGUUUGUGAUAAAAUCAUUUUAUUAGGAUAAGAACUUGAAUUAUAAAAUCCCAAUUACAUUAAGAUUCACAGCUAGCAACGAUUCCUAAUUAUAAUUUAUAAUUUACUUUUGUAUAACUUAUUGACAAAUUCAAAGCAACGUUUGAAUAGAAAUCACAAUAAAAAUCUUUUUAAAGAUAACUUCUUAAAAUGCAAUAAGUAUGGUUUUAAAGGUAACUGUUUAUUUAAAAUUGAUAUAUUUGUUAACCAAAACUGUUGAUAAGAGACAAGUAUACGGUUGUAUCGAAAAUCCGAUUCCUUUCCCUAUGUCUUCACGUACUCUUUGAACAUCGUCAGGGUAUUUCUCUGUAUCCGUGGAAUAUAUGAGCAUUGUCUUACAAUACAAGGCAGGGAACACGUGGAAACCUAUGUUCGAUGUCUCGACAAAUAAAGACGUCGUUGCUGAAGCGUCAACACCCACGUGCAUUGUCGCACGGCGCGUACAUCGUAGUCGACUUGCCUCGAAUCCUCACAGAACACGAUUCAAACGUAUUUAAGGAACCUGAGUGCACAUAUUGUCGACAUGAUAAUGAAUAUAACGCAACGUGAUCUUUGUUAGGUAUAUCUCGUUACACUAACUUGUAAAACUUUAAAUUAAGUUGCGCUAAUAUAUACGUGAUAUAAUAAAUUUUAAGUUUAACAUUUACUCGAACUGAUCGGUAUAAUAGAAUGUAAAAACUCUGUAUCUGCCUAAAAAAUUUUGCAUAUUUCUAGAGAGUAACGGACUAGCAAUAAAUAAUUUAUACCGACUGAUUAAAACGUAUGUCUAUAUUUUGGUAUAUCAAGGAUGCAUUUAAUUACACGUCGUGCUAUAUUCAAGGUACAAAACCGUCAGAUCUCGAUUUAAAAAAUCAACAAAAAACUAUGCUCGUCCGGGAUACGACCACGAUGAGAAUCGUUGGUUGUUCACAUUCUUCUUGGCUAUUAACGGACGAUGUGAAUCACCAUUUUAUCCUCGAAUUAUACAAAUCGAGUCGGAGGCUUUGUGCGGUUCAAACAAACGAUCGAAGGGAGCCGAGAAACUCCACAGUUUCCGAGGUCGUUCUCUGACCUACUGCGAGAGAAUUCGGAGACGAAAUCGUGUCAGUAGCUUAUAAUGUUACAUACGUCUAUAAUAGUUCCACGUUCACUUCGGAAGUUUUUACGUACAUAUGUGAUAAUUAUAGAAAUUAAAGUUUUUAAAAUAUACUCGAUGUUUUUGUUUUAGAAAAAUUUAUCGUUUUUUACAACUUUGUUAAACGAUAUCUUUUCGAGUAUCGAACAACUAAAAUGUUCUGUAAAAAGUUUUUAAAAUAUGCUCGGUAUUUCUGUUUUAGAAAAAUUUAUCGUUUUUUACAACUUUGUUAAACGAUAUCUUUUCGAAUAUCGAAUAGCUAAAAUUCCAUUUAAAAAAAAACAUCUCACAAAAUUUAAAUUUAAAUUGUUACGACAUUUAAUAAUCACAGCACAAAAAAAUUAGGCAUCAUAAUUUACUCUAUUAAAUUUACCCUUAAAUCCAUUCUUAAAUUCAUUCACUGCAUUAAAUUCAUUGCUUCAGGUUCAACAAGUUAAGGCUUCCUGGACGCUGUAAUACGACUCGCUAUAUAGUGAGUACUUUACAACCUAAAUUAGUAAACCAAAAUUAUUGACGAAACAACAAUCGUAAUUUUUACGCAUUUUUCUUGCUGCGCAUAUUCAGGAGCAGAAGAAAAAGAAGAGAAAAGUAUUCAGGUUUUUUGAACGAGAUGAUAUAUAAUUUUUUCUACCAUACCGUUAUCUGUAUAAUACGAAACAACCGUCAAUUGAUCGACAAUUAUCGCUCUGAUACUUGGAAGUAUAGUAAAUACGAAAUGCACGUGGUAUUAAACUAGAUAGAUUGUUUAAAAAAUGUAUCUAUUACUAUUCUACAGGCAAGCUCCUAUUUAAUAGAAAUAAUUUCGUAAUAUCACUUUCACUGUAUACGAAGAUAGUUCAUUAUUCUAUAACUAGUAACAGAUAUAGUUAGUAUACCUUUUAGUAGUAAAUUUUUUUUUCAAAAUUGAAGAAACAUUUAUAUAAUUUAUAUUUCAAUGUAUUAUAACCUCAAUAUCAAUACAUUUGCGUUUGUUUAAAAAAGAAAGUCGAC